AACCCACGGUAAGGGCACCUUCUCAAUAAAUCCUUAUACCUCUCCCAUGCAUCGUAAAGGGUAAAGGGAUUCUAAAUCCAUUUGCACGAAGGAAGAGAUAUCAUUCCUCAGCUU
rnacentral:snoRNA from 1 species